rnacentral:tRNA from 1 species
GGGGCUAUAGCUCAGCUGGGAGAGCGCUUGCAUGGCAUGCAAGAGGUCAGCGGUUCGAUCCC